GAUGAACGCUGGCGGCGUGCCUAAUACAUGCAAGUCGAGCGAACAGACGAGGAGCUUGCUCCUCUGACGUUAGCGGCGGACGGGUGAGUAACACGUGGAUAACCUACCUAUAAGACUGGGAUAACUUCGGGAAACCGGAGCUAAUACCGGAUAAUAUAUUGAACCGCAUGGUUCAAUAGUGAAAGACGGUUUUGCUGUCACUUAUAGAUGGAUCCGCGCCGCAUUAGCUAGUUGGUAAGGUAACGGCUUACCAAGGCAACGAUGCGUAGCCGACCUGAGAGGGUGAUCGGCCACACUGGAACUGAGACACGGUCCAGACUCCUACGGGAGGCAGCAGUAGGGAAUCUUCCGCAAUGGGCGAAAGCCUGACGGAGCAACGCCGCGUGAGUGAUGAAGGUCCUCGGAUCGUAAAACUCUGUUAUUAGGGAAGAACAAAUGUGUAAGUAACUAUGCACGUCUUGACGGUACCUAAGCAGAAAGCCACGGCUAACUACGU
rnacentral:rRNA from 1 species